rnacentral:rRNA from 1 species
UUCCUGGUUUCGAAGCUCUGAUGGAACCACACCAACCCAUCCCGAACUUGGUUGUGAAACAUCAGAGGAGCUACAAUACUAAGGCCGAGGGGCUUUGGGAAGAUAGCUUGAUGCCGGGAA